GUGCGUCCACCAGUGGCCGGAGUUGAAGGAGAGCACGUCGGCGUCGCGCCACGACUCGGCGUUCUCGGAGAUGUCGUCCAGCAUCAGCACCCGCUUCCCCUGGACCACGUCGAUGUCCACCAGGUACGGCGCGCGGUAGAAGGAUACCGUCACCUGGUACUCCUGCUCGAUCGAGCAACGUGUUUAGAUUAGAUUAGAUUAGGCCCCAUCUCUUCGGCCAAGCAGCCUAGCUGGUACAUGUGUUUACACAUGACAUACCAGGAACUUGUAGGUGUACAAAGGGUCCGCGGAGACGAGCUGCGCCGGCGACUGCGGCGCGGCGGCGUGCAGCAGGCAGACGAGCGACUCCCACUGGUUGCGCCCCAGCGAGUCGCCCACGAACAUCACCGUCUUCC
rnacentral:lncRNA from 1 species